UUUUAGGGAGACCUACACCCCUCAAAACUCGAAAGCAAAAUGCCAAUAGAGAUUGAGUUGGUCUAACCUAGGUCGGUCGAGAUUGGUAAAAGCUUUCAAAGUAUUUCUGGUUCAUUUCAUCAUAGUUAUAACAAAAUUGAAUCGAGCAGAAAAAUUCAGCAACAUGGCUUAAUGCCAGACUGCUGGGUAUAGUCUCAGCCAGAACCUUGAAAACUGCAUAGUAACGCGAAAUUAGCAGGCAGACGCAGACAUUCAGUUGAAUGAUUGUGUUUGCAAAGGUGAAACACCAAAUGUUAAGU
rnacentral:misc_RNA from 1 species